rnacentral:rRNA from 1 species
ACUCCUACGGGAGGCAGCAGUGGGGAAUAUUGGACAAUGGGGAACCGUAGCAUCCAGCCAUGCCGCGUGUGUGAAGAAGGCCUUCGGGUUGUAAAGCACUUUCAGUGGGGAGGAAAGGAUUGUUGGUUAAUACCUAACAGCUGUGACGUUACCCACAGAAGAAGCACCGGCUAACUCCGUGCCAGCAGCCGCGGUAAUACGGAGGGUGCAAGCGUUAAUCGGAAUUACUGGGCGUAAAGCGUGCGCAGGCGGUCUGUUAAGCGAGAUGUGAAAG